ACCAUCAUGAUCUCUGUAGCUCUGCUGCUGCUGUUGGCUGCUGGAUCCUGUGUGAAGUGUGAACAGCUGACUCAGCCAGCCUCUGUGACUGUGCAGCCAGGUCAGCGUCUGACCAUCAGCUGUCAGGUCUCUUAUUCUCUCAGUAGCUAUGGAACAUCUUGGAUCAGACAGCCUGAAGGAAAAGGACUGGAAUGGAUCGGGUGGAAAUAUACUGGAGACUCUUCCUAUAAAGAGUCGCUGAAGAACAAGUUCAGCAUUGAUUUAGACCCUUCCAGUAAAACAGUGACUCUGAAUGGACAGAACAUGCAGCCUGAAGACUCAGCUGUGUAUUACUGUGCCAGAGAGCCACAGUGACACAAACAUCAGAACAGCUGAACAAAAACCCCUCAGUCUGAACAGUUGUAGUAGUAAUGAUCGACCAGAGGAGGCGCUCAUAGACCACCAAUAGUUUUACUACAUUUAAAAAUGUAUGGAGGACGAUUCAAAUGAGUUUUACUGUGUUUGCAUAUUACAGUUUUUCUCAAUUGUUUACACACAUUUCCUGAAAGCGUGCCUCAUAUUCUCAGAACUCUACACACAAAUCCAAAACAAACACACACAAUGGGCAAAACCCCUCAAUUAACCUGCUAAAUGAAACUUCACAUUCAAAACGAUGUUAUUUCUCCUCUCAAUGUGAUUUUGUUGUCAAAUGACACACAAACCAUCAUAUGAAUAGACAUUUAUAAGAACCAGCAGAACACUUAUAUGCUCAGUGUUAAACACUAUGAUGAAUGGAAAACACGUCUUCUCCAUUCAUCAUAAUGACUAAAGCCUUUUUGGUUCAGUGUUACAAUUACUACAGGCAGUAUAUACAUACAUGUGUUGUAAAAUAUUUCAGAAUAUUGUUUUUACACU